rnacentral:rRNA from 1 species
UAGGGAAUCUUCCGCAAUGGGCGAAAGCCUGACGGAGCAACGCCGCGUGAGUGAUGAAGGUCUUCGGAUCGUAAAACUCUGUUAUUAGGGAAGAACAAAUGUGUAAGUAACUAUGCACAUCUUGACGGUACCUAAUCAGAAAGCCACGGCUAACUACGUGCCAGCAGCCGCGGUAAUACGUAGGUGGCAAGCGUUAUCCGGAAUUAUUGGGCGUAAAGCGCGCGUAGGCGGUUUUUUAAGUCUGAUGUGAAAGCCCACGGCUCAACCGUGGAGGGUCAUUGGAAACUGGAAAACUGGAGUGCAGAAGAGGAAAGUGGAAUUCCAUGUGUAGCGGUGAAAUGCGCAGAGAUAUGGAGGAACACCAGUGGCGAAGGCGACUUUCUGGUCUGUAACUGACGCUGAGGCUCGAAAGCGUGGGUAGCAAACAGG